AUUGAACGCUGGCGGCAGGCCUAACACAUGCAAGUCGAACGGUAACAGGAAGAAGCUUGCUUCUUUGCUGACGAGUGGCGGACGGGUGAGUAAUGUCUGGGAAACUGCCUGAUGGAGGGGGAUAACUACUGGAAACGGUAGCUAAUACCGCAUAACGUCGCAAGCCCAAAGUGGGGGACCUUCGGGCCUCUUGCCAUCGGAUGUGCCCAGAUGGGAUUAGCUAGUAGGUGGGGUAACGGCUCACCUAGGCGACGAUCCCUAGCUGGUCUGAGAGGAUGACCAGCCACACUGGAACUGAGACACGGUCCAGACUCCUACGGGAGGCAGCAGUGGGGAAUAUUGCACAAUGGGCGAAAGCCUGAUGCAGCCAUGCCGCGUGUAUGAAGAAGGCCUUCGGGUUGUAAAGUACUUUCAGCGGGGAGGAAGGGAGUAAAGUGAAUACCUUUGCUCAUUGACGUUACCCGCAGAAGAAGCACCGGCUAACUACGUG
rnacentral:rRNA from 1 species